rnacentral:rRNA from 1 species
AAUGAACGCUGGCGGCAUGCCUAACACAUGCAAGUCGAACGGGAUCCUAGCUUGCUAGGUGAGAGUGGCGGACGGGUGAGUAACACGUGGGAAUCUGCCUUUUGGUUCGGGAUAACCGCGGGAAACUGCGGCUAAUACCGAAUGCCCUCGAGAGAGGAAAGAUUUAUCGCCAGAAGAGGAGCCCGCGUCCGAUUAGGUAGUUGGUGGGGUAAAGGCCUACCAAGCCGACGAUCGGUAGCUGGUCUGAGAGGAUGAUCAGCCACACUGGGACUGAGAUACGGCCCAGACUCCUACGGGAGGCAGCAGUGGGGAAUAUUGGACAAUGGGGGGCAACCCUGAUCCAGCAAUGCCGCGUGAGUGAUGAAGGCCUUAGGGUUGUAAAGCUCUUUUGCCAGGGAAGAUGAUGACUGUACCUGGAGAAUAAGCCCCGGCUAACUUCAUGCCAGCAGCCGCGGUAAU